GACGAACGCUGGCGGCGUGCUUAACACAUGCAAGUCGAACGGAAAGGCCCUGCUUGCAGGGUACUCGAGUGGCGAACGGGUGAGUAACACGUGGGUGAUCUGCCCUGCACUUCGGGGUAAGCCUGGGAAACUGGGUCUAAUACCGGAUAGGAGCCAUUUUUAGUGUGAUGGUUGGAAAGUUUUUUCGGUGUAGGAUGAGCUCGCGGCCUAUCAGCUUGUUGGUGGGGUAAUGGCCUACCAAGGCGGCGACGGGUAGCCGGCCUGAGAGGGUGGACGGCCACAGUGGGACUGAGAUACGGCCCAGACUCCUACGGGAGGCAGCAGUGGGGAAUAUUGCACAAUGGGCGCAAGCCUGAUGCAGCGACGCCGCGUGGGGGAUGACGGCCUUCGGGUUGUAAACUCCUUUCGCUAGGGACGAAGCUUUUUGUGACGGUACCUAGAUAAGAAGCACCGGCUAACUACGUG
rnacentral:rRNA from 1 species